rnacentral:rRNA from 1 species
UACGUAGGGGGCAAGCGUUGUCCGGAUUUAUUGGGCGUAAAGAGCGUGUAGGCGGCCAGGUAGGUCUGCUGUGAAAACUCGAGGCUCAACCUCGAGACGCCGGUGGAAACCGUGUGGCUAGAGUCCGGAAGAGGAGAGUGGAAUUCCUGGUGUAGCGGUGAAAUGCGCAGAUAUCAGGAAGAACACCCGUGGCGAAGGCGGCUCUCUGGGACGUGACUGACGCUGAGACGCGAAAGCGUGGGGAGCAAACAGG